GUCUGUAGAGAGGCCAGAAGGCAGCAGCAGACCCUCGGAAAGCUGAAGUUACUGGCAAUUGUGAGCUGCCUGAUGUGCAUGUUGGGUACCAGACUCAGGUUCUCUGCAAGAGAGCGUCAAGUGCUCUUAAUGGCCGAACCAUCCCUCCAGUUCUAGGUAACAGGUAUUUCUCAAAGCAUCAUACUGGCAAACCAUCUCAAACAUCCCCAAAGCCACUGUGCCUUGUCAGAGAAGAUGUAGACUAGUUAAUCAAGGUGAUCCGUGCCUGUGACCAACACUUGGGACGUGGUACCAAGAGCAGCAGGAGUUCUAUCUAGACCAGCCUAUAUCUGAGACCUUGUCUCCAAAACCAAAACCAAAACUAAAGCCAGAAACAAAACAAACAAAAAACUGGGAGGGAAGGAAGGAAGGAAGCUAUGAGAUGACACUCAUUCGACAGACAGGGAAACCAAGGCUGAGAGAAGGGUCCAUCUGGUCCAAGGUCACUUGACUGUAAGGGUUAGCCUCGUUAUAGUGAUCUGAAGAGUGUGUCGUGUCCUCCCUCCCUCCCCCCGCUCAGCACAGCUUUCCAGAGGCAGCCUUGUGUUUUCAUUAGGGGGAGGCUGCUCCCAGAUAAGCCGGGAGGUAAGAAGGUGACCUGAUAGCCCAGGGGUGACCAGAGGCUUAAUACUCAGGGGCCUGUUAAGCUUCUUUGAUACCUAGCACCCACGUACUGACAAGGGCUGGCCUCUAGAGCCUAGUCGCCUCUAGACAAGCGUGACAGUACAGCCCCCCCCGCCCCCCCGUGAUGCCUUCACACAUGCUAGAUCCGCAGCGGCUUAGUUCUUAGCAACUGUGGGGUUCUGUGUUUCAUUCGGACUCUUCCUGUCUAGCUGCGCCUAGCUUCCUGGGGUCCGGGGUAAGGUUCCACUCCUUUGGGGGCUCCGGUCUCUUUCUCCAAGCCUCAGUGAAAAGGACAGUUCGUGGCUAGCCAACUCAAUGAAGUGGUAGAAAAGAUGAUGAUCGGAGAGUGAUUUGGCCCAAAGCAAAUCUGAACCCCAGCAGCAAGUUCCAUUAGGAAUUUAAAAUAGCGCCCUGUGGCUUAAUGCUGUCUCCUGAGCCCAUGUAAGACCCUGCUCACUGGGGCCUUGGUAGCAGCCACCAGCCUUGCUUUCUCCAGCUCGUCUCUGCGCCCUCCAAGGUCUGACGCUUUCAGUUUACCCAUCUUUGCCUUCCUGUCCAAGCUAUUCAUGUGUCUCCUGGUGUGACAGUCUCAGAAAAACCUGUCAGUGUCCUGAGUAACUCGUGGAUUCCAUCUGGCAAGAGCUUCCACCCCUGAUAUUUCUGGAUUCCCUCUCUGUUCUUGGAUCUGAGAUGAGCCAUGACCCAUGACCCACAUCCUAAUCUCUUCAAUAAAAAUGUCCAGCAACACUUUAAA
rnacentral:sRNA from 1 species